CCUACGGGUGGCAGCAGUGAGGAAUAUUGGUCAAUGGGCGAGAGCCUGAACCAGCCAAGUCGCGUGAGGGAGUACUGCCCUAUGGGUUGUAAACCUCUUUUGUCGGGGAGCAAAAGCCGGACGUGUCCGGCUGUGAGAGUACACGAAGAAAAAGCAUCGGCUAACUCCGUGCCAGCAGCCGCGGUAAUACGGAGGAUGCGAGCGUGAUCCGGAUUUAUUGGGUUUAAAGGGUGCGCAGGCGGAUUUUUAAGUCAGCGGUAAAAUCGUGGGGCUCAACCCCAUCCAGCCGUUGAAACUGGGGAUCUAGAGUGUGCGAGAGGUAUGCGGAAUGCGUGGUGUAGCGGUGAAAUGCAUAGAUAUCACGCAGAACCCCGAUUGCGAAGGCAGCAUACCGGUGCACAACUGACGCUCAGGCACGAAAGCGUGGGUAUCGAACAGGAUUAGAUACCCUUGUAGUC
rnacentral:rRNA from 1 species